rnacentral:snRNA from 1 species
AGCUUUGUGCAGUGGCAGUAUCAUCGUAGCCAAUGAGGUUUAUCUGAGGCGCGAUUAUUGCUAAUUGAAAACUUCCCAAUACCUCGUGGUGACGACUUGCAAUAUAGUUGGCAUUGGUGAUUUUUGACAGUCUCUACGGAGA